AUUGAACGCUGGCGGCAGGCCUAACACAUGCAAGUCGAACGAGUGGCGGACGGGUGAGUAAUGUCUGGGAAACUGCCUGAUGGAGGGGGAUAACUACUGGAAACGGUAGCUACUACCGCAUACCAUCGGAUGUGCCCAGAUGGGAUUAGCUAGUAGGUGGGGUAAAGGUUCACCUAGGCGACGAUCCCUAGCUGGGCUGAGAGGAUGACCCGCUACACAGGAAAUUAGACACGGUCCAGACGCCUACGGUAGGCAGCAGUGGGGAAUAUUGAACAAUGGGCGCAAGCCUGAUGCAGCCAUGCCAGGUGUAUGAAGGAGGCCUUCGGGUUGUAAAGUACUUUCAGCGGGGAGGCGUUACCCGCAGAAGAAGCACCGGCUAACUCCGUGCCAGCAGCCGCGGUAAUUC
rnacentral:rRNA from 1 species